UACAGAGGGUGCGAGCGUUAAUCGGAAUUACUGGGCGUAAAGGGCGCGUAGGUGGUGAUAUAAGUCGAGGGUGAAAUUUCCGGGCUUAACUUGGAAUCGGCAAUCAAGACUGUAUGACUAGAGUAGGGUAGAGGGAAGUGGAAUUUCCGGUGUAGCGGUGAAAUGCGUAGAUAUCGGAAGGAACACCUGCGGCGAAGGCGGCCUUCUGGACGAUGACUGACGCUGAGACGCGAAAGCGUGGGGAGCAAACAGG
rnacentral:rRNA from 1 species